UGACCUCAAAUCAGGUAGGACUACCCGCUGAACUUAAGCAUAUCAAUAAGCGGAGGAAAAGAAACUAACAAGGAUUCCCCUAGUAACUGCGAGUGAAGCGGGAAAAGCUCAAAUUUAAAAUCUGGCGGUCUUAUGGCUGUCCGAGUUGUAAUCUAGAGAAGUGUUAUCCGCGCUGGACCGUGUACAAGUCUCCUGGAAUGGAGCAUCAUAGAGGGUGAGAAUCCCGUCUUUGACAUGGACUGCCAGGGCUUUGUGAUGCGCUCUCAAAGAGUCGAGUUGUUUGGGAAUGCAGCUCAAAAUGGGUGGUAAAUUCCAUCUAAAGCUAAAUAUUGGCGAGAGACCGAUAGCGAACAAGUACCGUGAGGGAAAGAUGAAAAGAACUUUGGAAAGAGAGUUAAACAGUACGUGAAAUUGCUGAAAGGGAAACGCUUGAAGUCAGUCGCGUCAUCCAGGGAUCAACCUUGCUUUUGCUUGGUGCACUUCCUGGUUUGAUGGGUCAGCAUCAAUUUUGACUAUUGGAAAAAGGCUGAGGGAAUGUGGCAUCUUCGGAUGUGUUAUAGCCCUUGGUCGCAUACAAUGGUUGGGAUUGAGGAACUCAGCACGCCGCAAGGCCGGGUUUUAAACCACGUACGUGCUUAGGAUGC
rnacentral:rRNA from 2 species